rnacentral:lncRNA from 1 species
CAAUUGCCAAUUCCAAAUAAGGCUGAUAAAAUGUUCUGAAGCACUUUUGACAACCUCACAGGAUUGGGGAUUAAAAGUUGUAGUCCAUUCCUUGUAAUUCCAGGAGGUAGGAAAAAAUAAGUAAAUAAAAUGAGAAAUAAAGUUUUAAUCCCGGGCCCACAAAAAGGACCCUGGAAAACUCUCCACUUUUUGGGUUGAGACCUCAAAAGACCAAACUCUACAAGAUAAAUUGAAAACAGACCAUUCAUUGCUCAGAAACUGCUCAGAUAUGAAUCAUCUCAAUCACUAAAAUUAGUUUGAUUAUCUCAGAUUGCUAGAGCCCCUAGAUGCCUUCCAGAAACAAAUGUAUAUCCAUAGAAAGAAAAUAGAUAGUCUCAGAGACCUAUAGGAUUAUAACAAAAGAUCUAACACUCCUGUCAUGGAGAGAGAGGAGAGGGGAGAUGGGCUUAAAAAGUACUUGAAGAAAUAAUGGCUGAAAACUAUUCAAAUUUAGCAAAAGACAUAAAUCUCCAGAUUAAAGAAAGUGAGCGCCAAACAGGAUAAAGCCAAAGAAAUCCAUAUCAGGGCACAUAAUAAUCAAACUUCUGAAAGUUAAAGACAAACAUAGAAUUGAGAAAGAGAUGACAAUCUCUUAUGUAUAAGAGAAAAACAGGAUCUCUCAUCAGAUACUACAAAGGCCAGAAAGAAGUGGCACAUUUUUCAAGAGCUGAAAGAAAAGAACUGUCAAACCAAAAUUCAAUAUCCAGCAAAAGUAUACUUCAGAAAUGGAGGGGAGAUCAAGACAUUCUCAGAUGAAGGAACACUUAGAGAAUCUGUCACCAACAUAACUACUCUAAAAGAAUGGCUAAAGGAAGUUCUUAAAAUGUAAAGGAAAUGAUAAAAUAAGGAAUCUUGGACUAUCAGAAAGGAAGAAAAAACAACUGAAAGAAGGAAAAUGUGGGUAAAUGCCAUAGACUUUAAUGCUUC